AGGGACUCUCCCCUUCUGUCACAGCUGCUCAGUCAGUGCGAAAUGGGUAACCUGAAAGCUCUGGAAACUUAGCGUCUCCUGGGAGACAGAAAAACCUAUUAGUCAGAAAUUAGUCACACAUGACUGUACAAGUGGAAGUAACAUGCUCUAACUAACUGCUAAAUUUCUGGUGAGUCAUGGGGUGAGGAGGAACAGCAGCAAAUGAAAUGGCUACUCCCCCCCCCGGUCCCCCUUUUCCUGCCGGUUCUUUUUUAACAGAGAUGGUGUUAUUGUAAUAGCUGGGAACCUUGCGAACCUAAGAGAAGGCCCUGUUUGGGCAAGGGGGGGCAGGGGGCGCCCUACAGUUAAGGCAGAGCUGGGUUGGGUACCUCAAGCAACAGAUGGAAAUUUGUGUGGAGCAGCGUCGAGAUCUUGGGAGGCCAGAGGCACACGUGUCACUUCACCCAAACCAGACGGAUCGUGACCUGGAUUGGAGCAAUUGCCCACUUCAGAAUCUGCAGUAUGGCAGAUUCCAAAACAUGGUGGUCCAAAGGUUGCUUUGUUUAUGUUUCCCUCUGUUAACUGGGAGGGCCACAUUCGCACCAUAUAUUGAAAACUCUAUGAUCCCCCCUUAAACUGACAUGGCUUCCCUCAAAGAAUUCUGAGAACCAGAGGCGCCAACUUCUCAUGAUGUUGGAGGGAGCCUGACACAACGUCCUGACGUUGCGCAUGCGACGUUGCGCAAUGUCCUGCCGUCGUGUGACGUCACAAGGAGUCGGGGUGGGGCUGAACGCCCUCUGAACAUUGAUGGGGCCUGCCCCUAAAAAAACAUGGGGGGCCACAAGUACCUCGGCCCCCUGGAGCUGGUGCCUAUGCUGGGAACCAUGGUAUUUUAAAGGGAGCUGAGAGCUGUUAGGAGACCCCUUUCCCCCUUCACAAAACUACAAUUCCCAGAGUGCUUUAGCAGUCAAUCCCUCUUCCCUGUGAGCUGUAAACCGGGAAUAGGGUUUGCAAUGCAGAUAGCUUCAAUUUCCUUCCCUUUUUAAAUAACAACCCCUGGAAUGGAAUUUGCCUUUACUGUACUGCACGCUGAGUUGAUGUUUUUGUUUAGUUAUCCAUCAACCCACCUGACCCCAAGAUCCUUUUCUUGGGUUCCCACUGCCAGUUCAGACCCUAUCAGCACAUUUGCUAGAUCCAGGGAAAGUUAGAUGAACUUAGUCCCAUUGUAAUUAGUGGGGUCAUGAUGAGCAACUUUUCAAUGUGAGCUGAAUCCAACCCAGAAUUAUUUGCCCCAGUGUGCAUCACUUUACACCUAUUUAUCUGGUUCUUCAUUUGAUAUUUUGUUGCCCAUUCAUCCAGUUUAGAGAGAUCCUUUUAGAUUUCUUUGUGGUCUUCUUGGGCUUUCCCUGUAUUGCAUAAUUUGAUGACAUAUUCCAACUUGCCCGCUUCAUUGCUUACCAGAAUUGGUGCCUUUUUUGUUUUGUUUUUUGUUCUUUCAUUUGGGGCAACCUUCUAUUUUUAAAGGAAGACUUCUAGCCUUUCAUCUUGACUCUGCUCAUUAGCCAUACUGACAUCCUCUUGAACUUAUUUGUGCCUGUCUUAAUAUGUGAAUGUCAUGCUAUUUUAGCUUCUGUGACCAUCAUUUUAACUAAUUCCAAGCACCCUGGAGAGUCUUGCCAACUCAUAUUUUCAGCUUCCAUUUAAUUUUAAAGCACGUUUCCUCUUUUGAAAUCAGAUGUGACUGUUCUGCACUUUCUGGGCAAAUUCCCACUUACGCAUAGAUUGAGUUUGGUAGGAGAUGGGACAAUCUUUAAAGAAGAAUGCUGUGUGUCACCAGCAGAAUUUAGAAUGUUAACUUGCUUUAUGCUUUUAUAUAUAUAGUUUUGUUCUGGUCCGUGUAAAGUUCAUUUUCAUUUUCUUCAACUUUAUGUGGAUAUGUAGUUCUCUUUUAAAAAAUAAUAAUCUUAUUUUGUGAUGGAUACAACAUAAACCAGUCCUGAUGUGAUUUGAUAACACAGUGGUCAUGAUUCCCAAUCAUCCUAUCAUGUAUUCCUAGUUCUGAACACCAUUCAAGAUGGACAGAGCAAUCUAAAUCUGCUUUAUGUGCUAUGGGAUGUUUGGAUUGAACAGAGACUCUUCCCUUACUCUAUUGACUGCUGCCCACUUACCCCUUCUGUCCUCUAAACAUGUGGCCAGCAGUUCCACUAGUCGUAUCCCUGCCAAUAGAGACCAGUGGAAAGUCCUGAAAUUGGGCAUUUUGAGGGUGGGAAGGGGGCAGGACUAAACCAGCACUGGAUCUGCUGGACCCUAAACUGGUCUGACUGAUGUUAUAUGAUGGCAUUCAGCUGUCUGUAUCACCAUGGAACUGGUGAAUGGAUCAGGCCUGACGGUGCCAGAGGUGGAGCAAGGUGGGUGUGGUCUGCCCUGGGUGUCAUCCCUGAGGGGGGGUGACAUCACUGUGCCACCCCGGGACACACUCACCACGGGUGGCGCACCCCUGGAAAGGACUCUUAAGUUUUCUUCUUUGGAUUCUCUUUGACAUCUAGAGCAACAUUCUCCCCAAAUGCCCUUCCCAGUCCUCACUAUAGACCUUCUCUCCAUGGAUAACUGCAUCCUGUUGAUUCUCUCAAUCAACAUCUCUAUCUACGUCCUCAUUUAGCACCAAGCGCUCAGCUGGCCUACCAAGAUUAUUAACAAAUACAUUGCAUCUGUUUCCCCUUUGCUCCUUUCCAAGCUCAACCUUAACCCCAUUUAGGUCACCUAGAACAUUUAUAACCACAUUCCUUAAAGGUGAGCUGUCUUGAACUGGGUGUUCCCCACCUCUGGCUGGCCUUCCCCCAGAAAUCAGUUUCACAAAAGGGUGAUUUACAACCUUUUUGAUAUUAAGUACUGUACCUCCGGCUCCAAUGCAGUUCGAGAGGAACAAGACUCACCAUGUUCCAAGGUGUUCCCCAGUGCCUAACAAUUCUAAAACCUUCUUCCCAACCACCACCAUCUCAUCCAUGUGCUGAGACCCCACAGCUCUACCUAUCUAGCUGGUCCAAUGCAUGAAACGAGUAACAUAUCUGCUACCAUGGAGUUCCUGGGCUUUAACAACUCAACUAGCAACCUAUUUUUGGUUUCCAGGACCUCUGGAUCUCAAUUCCCAGACAGGAACUGGCACCAGGUAGCCUCAGGAGAGCUACUGUCUACUCCUCUCUCCACCCCAGUUCUCCAUCUGCAGGAUGUGGCGUAUGGUGGUUAGCAGUAUUGGUCUACCGUACCAUACCGUUGUGGUGAUUGCUGAGAUGAUUGUAUGUGAAAUGCUCUGAACACUUUGAAAUUGUUGUAAUUUGCAGUACAAUUGUAUAACGACAACAACAACAACAUUUUUAUUAUUUAUGUGCCACCCAUUUGACCAGGUUGCCUUAGCUGCUCUGGGCAGCUCCCAAGAAGGUAUUAAAAGCAUAAUAAAACAUCAACCCUUAAAAAAUUCCC
rnacentral:lncRNA from 1 species